CAAUAGCGUAUAUUGACGUUGUUGCAGUUAAAAAGCUCGUAGUUGGAUUUCUGGAGGGAGCGUCGGCCCGUAUUUACGAGUGCGUGACGUCUCUGUCCAUCCUUGCGGGAAGGCACGGCAUUGAUUUGUUGUGUCGGAUCGCAUCAUUUACUGUGAAAAAAUUAGAGUGUUCAAAGCAGGCUUUCGCUUGAAUACAUUAGCAUGGAAUAAUAAGAUAGGACUUUGGUGCUAUUUUGUUGGUUGAGCCUAAAGUAAUGAUUAAUAGGGAUAGUUGGGGGCACCUGUAUUGCGUUGUCAGAGGUGAAAUUCUUGGAUUUACGCAAGACAAACAGCUGCGAANGNGUCUGCNAAGGAUGUUUNCAUUA
rnacentral:rRNA from 1 species